AUUGAACGCUGGCGGCAUGCCUUACACAUGCAAGUCGAACGGCAGCACGGGAGCAAUCCUGGUGGCGAGUGGCGAACGGGUGAGUAAAGUAUCGGAACGUGCUCAGUCGUGGGGGAUAACGUAGCGAAAGUUACGCUAAUACCGCAUACGAUCUACGGAUGAAAGCGGGGGAUCGCAAGACCUCGCGCGAUUGGAGCGGCUGAUGUCAGAUUAGGUAGUUGGUGGGGUAAAGGCUCACCAAGCCGACGAUCUGUAGCUGGUCUGAGAGGACGACCAGCCACACUGGGAGUGAGCCAAGGCCCAGACUCCUACGGGAGGAAGCAGUGGGGAAUUUUGGACAAUGGGCGCAAGCCUGAUCCAGCCAUGCCGCGUGCAGGAUGAAGGCCUUCGGGUUGUAAACUGCUUUUGUACGGAACGAAAAGGUUUGGCCUAAUAAGCUGGACCCAUGACGGUACCGUAAGAAUAAGCACCGGCUAACUACGUGCCAGCCGCCGCCGUAA
rnacentral:rRNA from 1 species